ACAAAGGAAAAUCAGGUCCUUACUCUCAAAGAAUCACUCUCUGCACAUUUAUAUAAAUCAACUACAACGGUCAGUCUAUUUUAAACCUGAAUUCACAAUCAAGUUUCCUUAGUAUCCCUAUAGCUCUCAACUAAAGGUAAAUUGCUGUAAUGCUGCCAAUUAAAAUAAAUACACUGCCUUAAUUAAUUCUAAAAAUAUCAGAUCAGGAUCAGCAUGUUGCUUUCAGUGAAUAUUGUAUGGCAAAACUCCCAUAGAUUUACCAGCUGUUUUGACUGUGUAAGGAAUGGAGAAGAAGGUCUGUGAUAUGUGUCGAUUAUUUAUUACAGCAUGAACACCUAAGAUUUCUCACUUGAUUUAUUAGUGUAUUAAACCUGGAGGAUACAAUCAAACGUUUUAGUAAUAAAAUAUCUUUUCAAAGAGAAAUAUCAAAUAUUGGCUAAGUAAGUUCCUC